AUGGCUGAGUUACAGAAAUCAUUAGCAUCAUUCAGGAGACAAGGCUCAUCAGGAUUGGUUUGGGAUGACAAGUUCCUGUCUGGUCUGAAUCAAAACCAACAACAACAACAAGAUGAGAGUAACACCGUUGGAUCAAGUGCCACGUUGGAUAGAAGUAGAUCAGAUGGAGGAAGACCAUAUCGGACGGUCAACGUUUCACCACCAUCAAAGGACCCUCCUUCUCCGAAGGUAGCAACCUGUGGUUUAUGUGGUUUCUUUCGGGAAUCAAAUAAACCCAAAUCAAGGAAAAAAAGAUGA